rnacentral:rRNA from 1 species
GUGGGGAAUAUUGGACAAUGGGCGAAAGCCUGAUCCAGCCAUGCCGCGUGUGUGAAGAAGGUCUUCGGAUUGUAAAGCACUUUAAGUUGGGAGGAAGGGCAGUAAGUUAAUACCUUGCUGUUUUGACGUUACCAACAGAAUAAGCACCGGCUAACUUCGUGCCAGCAGCCGCGGUAAUACGAAGGGUGCAAGCGUUAAUCGGAAUUACUGGGCGUAAAGCGCGCGUAGGUGGUUCAGCAAGUUGGAGGUGAAAUCCCCGGGCUCAACCUGGGAACUGCCUCCAAAACUGAAUGAAUAGAGUACGGUAGAGGGUAGUGGAAUUUCCUGUGUAGCGGUGAAAUGCGUAGAUAUAGGAAGGAACACCAGUGGCGAAGGCGACUACCUGGACUGAUACUGACACUGAGGUGCGAAAGCGUGGAGAGCAAACAGGAUUAGAUACCCGGGUAGUCC